AGCAUGGUUUCAGUUUUGGCUAAUAAAGACUAAGAGACAAAGUUUAAGAUUUCAAAGCAAGUGAAACGUUACGUGGUUGCACGAAAAAUAACAGUACAAAUCAAAUUACAGAAAUUUGAUCGUCGUGUAAACUCUGGUGUCGUGGCUGUCUAAAAGAAUCGCCUAAAUCACACUCCAUGCAUUUUGGCGGAUUUGAGUCCUGAACCACAACCAUCGUGACAACAAGAUAUUCCAGUUUUGCUUCUGCUGCAUCUGUCAUCAUAGCAACAAUCUCAGCAUCACCGCUUGGAUAAACAGCAUCCCUGUUGAUUGGAGAUUCUACUGAUGGCCGAGCUACGUAUCUCUUCCUUCCUCUCCCUUUUUUUUAAUGUCCUCGUGUACACUUCAUGUGAGUGUGGGUGUAUUCACGAGGACCUCCUUUUCUCCCUAUCCCGACUGCUGGAUUCAACUUUUCAGCGGAUGGAUGGAUCACUUGUGGAUGGAUGCCUGGCUGAAUUUCCCAGGCUCAAAGGAAAGAGAUGAGACACAAAUAUCUACAGCACAAUGGGACUUUUGGUGCCAUUGUGGUACGGUACGGAUCAUCUACACUAGAAUUUUUCUUUCUUUUUCUUUCGGGAGAGAAUAAAAGGGUCCCUCGUGAA